CAGCCGCCACGGGAAUACGAAGGGUGCAAGCGUUACUCGGAAUUACUGGGCGUAAAGCGUGCGUAGGUGGUGGUUUAAGUCCGUUGUGAAAGCCCUGGGCUCAACCUGGGAAUUGCAGUGGAUACUGGGUCACUAGAGUGUGGUAGAGGAUAGUGGAAUUUCCGGUGUAGCAGUGAAAUGCGUAGAGAUCGGAAGGAACAUCUGUGGCGAAGGCGACUAUCUGGGCCAACACUGACACUGAGGCACGAAAGCGUGGGGAGCAAACAGGAUUAGAUACCCCCGUAGUCCCUGUCUCUUAUAA
rnacentral:rRNA from 1 species